AGGACCCCGAACGUCAGGGAGGGGUGGCCUUAGAACUAGAUUGGUCAGAGCUGGAAGUGACUCACAAUCCAAUGUUAAAGAGAGGAGGGGCCUUAGAACUCCAAAUGUCGAGGAGGAGAGAGCCCUUAGAACAGGAGGGCAGGAGCUGGAAGUGACCUUAGAACACAAUGUCAAAGACGGGAGGGCCUUAGAGCCCAGAAGGCCAAGGAAGAGAAGAGCCUUAGAACGGAGAGCGCGCCAGGGAGGGGAGGCCCUCAGGGGAAGAACUUUCUGAGGAGAAAUGUCAGAGCCGGAAGUGGCCUUAGAGCUGGGAGAACCUCAGGACAUAAAAUGUUAGAGCGUAGACGGUCAGAGGGGGAAGGACCUUGGGACACAGAUGCCGUCUGCUCCAACCCUCUUAUCCUGCAAAAGAAUGAACGUGAGGGAGGAACUGGCAGGACUAGAGUCUGGGUCUCCCAAGCUCAGCCGGGCCUUUGUGAGAUGAUGGUGGUGGUGAAGGGAAGAAGGAAAUAACAAUGGGAAGCUUCACAGAGAAGUCUCCCCCCCUUUCCCUGCCCUGGAUUGAGCGAGCAGAGUUGGGCUCACCAAUCUCGGUGAUUAUUGACCAUGAUUGACUGUAGAAUGAAUCCCAUGGGUCACUCAUUUUUUUUCAGGUGAAGGAAAAGAAAGAAUAUUCACCAUCCAUUUUCCACACAUUCUCUUGUUUUCUAGACCACCCUUGAGAGAGAAGUAGAACAGGCCUAAUUUCCCCAUUUUACAGAAGAAGUCUGAAUCUCAGAGAAGGGAAGCUGCUUACCCGAAGUCAAUGAGUUAGUCCCAGAGCCCUCUUCAGCUGCUUGUAGAGCUGAGGCAAACCAGCUGAGGAGGAGGCUGGAACGGCGGUGGCAGUAACCCCCCAGGAACUUCUGGGAUGCUGUUAUGCAUCAGGCAUUCUGACGCGGCCUGGGGGAGGGGGAGUCACGGAGCUGAGAGAUGCUGCUGGUGACAUCACCCCCCUUGGCACCUGGACAUCGGAGAGUCUUGGAAGAGUUCCGGCCUUUCUUCCCUGUCUCCCUUCCUCCUCUUGGCCCCUGGUCUGGGCAGGAUUUCAGGGACUCAAUUAUUCAUGGUCUUGGAAAGCCAACGUUGUUGGGGAGAGGGAAGGAAAGGCCACUUCCCCGAAGGAGCUAGUGAUGGGAAAAGGGAGGAUGUCGGGGGAUGGAGCAGAGAGGAGCGUGAGAACGGGGAAUCCUGAUUCUCUCUGGCCAGAGCCGGGGUUCUGCAGUUACUCCUUUUGACAUGUCUGUGUGCAGGGGCGGGGGGGGGAGUGCUGGACGGGCCCAGAAGCAUACUCGCUGGUCUUCCUAGUAUUACAACUGAUGGUCUUCUUUCCAACGAUUGUCUGCCCCCACUCCUCUCCCAUACACACAGCUUCCCAGCUUCUCCAGACAUGGCCAAGCCCUUCCCAGACUCGGUCCUGGCCUUGUCUCCGGGGAGAGGGCCCCGAAGGAGAGAAAACAGGCCCCCUUGGUCCUGGGCCACCAGUUAGCUCCCUUUCCCACCAGUGAUCACCAUAGCUUCAGACCAACACCCACUGAGAUGCUGGGGAGGACAGAAAAGGAGAUUGUGGGGGGGGAUGCUGCUUUCUCCAGGGGUCAACGGGGUAGGCAGGACUCAGAACAACUACAAUGUCUGUGCUCCUCACAACAACCCUGUGAUGUAGGUUCUAUUAUUAUCCCUGUUUGACGUGUGGGGAAACUGAGGCUCAGAGAGAUUAAAAUGGGAGCUAAGUAUUUGAAUGACCAAUUAAUGAUAAACGUUAAGUCCUAACUAUGUGCAAGGCAUUUUAUCUUUUUAUCACGAAGAAUCAGACACGAGUGAACACCACCACAAAUGGGGCUGGGGGCAGAAUGCAGUAGCCACGACAGCAUGGUUUGGCAAUGGCCAGGAAGUGGUCCGGAUGCCUGUUUUCCACCAAGAUAAGGGCUGAAAUCUCACAGCAUCCCGGGGGCAGAGUUCAAGAUCAGCCAAGGAGAGCAGGGUCAGGCUGCAUCUUCUGGAAAAGGCUCAAGUGUCUGCGAAGGGUUAGAAACCCACCUUCCAGAUUCCAGAUCCAGAACUCUCUCCACUAUGCCCUAGAGUUCGGGAUGUGGAUUCAAGAGGGGCUUAUGUGUUUACGUAUGUCCUCUGCUGGUCUCCUGCCGGCCAUAGUGAUCCACCAUUUCAGUGCCUAAGAUUUGCCAGGAUUUCCUUUGUGAGAGCCCUCUGAGGCAAGCCGUGGCAUGGGAUGCCAGCCCGCAUCUGAGGACCCAAGGGCCCUCAGAAGUCCUCCCACUGAGGGAAAUGGGGAGAAGAAAAAUGUGAGAUGUACCAAGAGGACAUCUCUUGCAGCGUAAGUGGGACCACCUGGAGAAGACCCUCUCAAAAGAGCAGAAGCCACACAAUGGGAGAGUGAUGUGUCUGUGUACAUACAGACGGCCCUGGGUCCCUUCCUCUCUCCCUGCCUCCUGGGGAAUGGAGAAUGUACAGUCACUGCUAUUAGAGAGUCCAGGGAAUUAAGAUCUCAUGGCCAAGAUGGCCCUAAAUGGAUGAGACCUGAGAUUCUCUCUGGUAGUGAACAAGGUCCCAAGAGGAAGAGUGAGACCUUGGAAGAUCUCUGUUCUGAUGCCGGUCUAGACUUCCAAGCUACUCCCCACAGUCUCAGCCUGACCCAUGUGGUUGGGGGCAAGGAAGGGAAGAAACUAGAGCAAAGACAUGGGACCAGAACAGCGGAAACCGGUGGUUACUGAAAACGCCCCUGACUGGUAUGGUAAAGGAAAAGAUAGCUCUUUUCCCCCCGCAGUGUUUCUCCUACUCCCCCUUGCUCACAGUCUUUGAUCCUGAGAGAGUCUUCAACACACAGCCUCUUAUUUCUGUAACAGAGACAGACAUUGGGGCCCUCCUGCACCCCAUCUCACCCCCACCCUUAAGCUCCAGGAGGAUGAGCAGGAGGAGGUUUAGGAGACAGUUGGAGACAAAUGUUUACUUUUUUUUUUUUUU
rnacentral:lncRNA from 1 species